rnacentral:SRP_RNA from 1 species
CGCGCGGGAAGGGCCGGAGGGGCCGCCUCCCUCCCAUGGCCCGAGGGCGCCACGCGGGGGCCAGUAACUCCGCCGCGGGCCACAGGGCCAGGCCAAGGCUCCCGCGGUAACUGUGAGCGCCCAGCCCACGGGGUCAACGGUGGCCGAGCGCCCGCCGGAGGACGGGCGUUGACGGCCUCAGCCGGGCUAACCUGGCCAGGCCCGGAAGGGAGCAACCUAGCCCGGCCGUUGACGUUCGUGGUGACUGGGCGUGAGGAGCCGCGGGGUUAAAGCCUGACCUGGUUCCGGGAACGCGGCGGGGGUCCGCGCG